rnacentral:rRNA from 1 species
UAGGGAAUCUUCGGCAAUGGGGGCAACCCUGACCGAGCAACGCCGCGUGAGUGAAGAAGGUUUUCGGAUCGUAAAGCUCUGUUGUAAGAGAAGAACGAGUGUGAGAGUGGAAAGUUCACACUGUGACGGUAUCUUACCAGAAAGGGACGGCUAACUACGUGCCAGCAGCCGCGGUAAUACGUAGGUCCCGAGCGUUGUCCGGAUUUAUUGGGCGUAAAGCGAGCGCAGGCGGUUAGAUAAGUCUGAAGUUAAAGGCUGUGGCUUAACCAUAGUACGCUUUGGAAACUGUUUAACUUGAGUGCAAGAGGGGAGAGUGGAAUUCCAUGUGUAGCGGUGAAAUGCGUAGAUAUAUGGAGGAACACCGGUGGCGAAAGCGGCUCUCUGGCUUGUAACUGACGCUGAGGCUCGAAAGCGUGGGGAGCAAACAGGAUUAGAUACCCUGGUAGUCCACGCCGUAAACGAUGAGUGCUAGGUGUUAGACCCUUUCCGGGGUUUAGUGNCGCAGCUAACGCAUUAAGCACUCCGCCUGGGGAGUACGACCGCAAGGUUG